GGUGGAUUAGUGGCGAACGGGUGAGUAACACGUGAGUAACCUGCCCUUGACUCUGGGAUAAGCGUUGGAAACGACGUCUAAUACCGGAUACGAGCUUCCACCGCAUGGUGAGUUGCUGGAAAGAAUUUUGGUCAAGGAUGGACUCGCGGCCUAUCAGCUUGUUGGUGAGGUAAUGGCUCACCAAGGCGACGACGGGUAGCCGGCCUGAGAGGGUGACCGGCCACACUGGGACUGAGACACGGCCCAGACUCCUACGGGAGGCAGCAGUGGGGAAUAUUGCACAAUGGGCGAAAGCCUGAUGCAGCAACGCCGCGUGAGGGACGACGGCCUUCGGGUUGUAAACCUCUUUUAGCAGGGAAGAAGCGAAAGUGACGGUACCUGCAGAAAAAGCACCGGCUAACUACGUGCCAGCAGCCGCGGUAAUACGUAGGGUGCAAGCGUUGUCCGGAAUUAUUGGGCGUAAAGAGCUCGUAGGCGGUUUGUCGCGUCUGCUGUGAAAUCCCGAGGCUCAACCUCGGGUCUGCAGUGGGUACGGGCAGACUAGAGUGCGGUAGGGGAGAUUGGAAUUCCUGGUGUAGCGGUGGAAUGCGCAGAUAUCAGGAGGAACACCGAUGGCGAAGGCAGAUCUCUGGGCCGCUACUGACGCUGAGGAGCGAAAGGGUGGGGAGCAAACAGGCUUAGAUACCCUGGUAGUCCACCCCGUAAACGUUGGGCGCUAGAUGUGGGGACCAUUCCACGGUUUCCGUGUCGUAGCUAACGCAUUAAGCGCCCCGCCUGGGGAGUACGGCCGCAAGGCUAAAACUCAAAGGAAUUGACGGGGGCCCGCACAAGCGGCGGAGCAUGCGGAUUAAUUCGAUGCAACGCGAAGAACCUUACCAAGGCUUGACAUAUACGAGAACGGGCCAGAAAUGGUCAACUCUUUGGACACUCGUAAACAGGUGGUGCAUGGUUGUCGUCAGCUCGUGUCGUGAGAUGUUGGGUUAAGUCCCGCAACGAGCGCAACCCUCGUUCUAUGUUGCCAGCACGUAAUGGUGGGAACUCAUGGGAUACUGCCGGGGUCAACUCGGAGGAAGGUGGGGACGACGUCAAAUCAUCAUGCCCCUUAUGUCUUGGGCUUCACGCAUCUACAAUGGCCAGUACAAAGGGCUGCAAUACCGUAAGGUGGAGCGAAUCCCAAAAAGCUGGUCCCAGUUCGGAUUGAGGUCUGCAACUCGACCUCAUGAAGUCGGAGUCGCUAGUAAUCGCAGAUCAGCAACGCUGCGGUGAAUACGUUCCCGGGCCUUGUACACACCGCC
rnacentral:rRNA from 1 species